rnacentral:rRNA from 1 species
UUAAAGUAAAACCUGCUCAAUGAUAAAUUUAAUAGCCGCAGUUAACUGUGCUAAGGUAGCAUAAUAAUUAGUUUCAUAAUUAGAAAAUAGAAUGAAAGGUUAAACGAAAAAUUCCUGUCUCACAUUAAUAAAUUAAUUUUUUCCUUUGGUAAAAAAACCAAUUCAAAUAUGAAAGACGACCAGACCCUAAUAAACUUAUCAUUUAGUUGGGGCAACAAUAUAAUAAUACUUUAUUUAAACCACAAAUCUGAAAAUAUAUCAAAAUUAGAUUAGUUACUAUAGGGAUAACAGCGCAAUUCUUUUUAAAGUUCAUAUUAAAAAAAGUUAUUACGACCUCGAUGUUGAAUUAAUUUAUACUUUUUGGCGCAAAAGCUAAACAGUUAGGUCUGUUCGACCAAUAAUAAAUU